rnacentral:rRNA from 1 species
AGGAUGAAUGCUGGCGGCGCGCCUAACACAUGCAAGUCGAGCGGUAAGGCCCUUAGGGGUACACGAGCGGCGGACGGCUGAGUAACGCGUGGGAACAUGCCCCAAAGUGAGGAAUAACUGCCCGAAAGGGUAGCUAAUGCCGCAUAUGAUCUUAGGAUUAAAGGAUUUAUCCGCUUUGGGAGUGGCCUGCGUACGAUUAGAUAGUUGGUGAGGUAAAGGCUCACCAAGUCUACGAUCGUUAACUGUUCUGAGAGGAUGAUCAGUCAGACUGGAACUGAGACACGGUCCAGACUCCUACGGGAGGCAGCAGUGAGGAAUCUUCCACAAUGGACGAAA